CUAACAGGAUUCCCCUAGUAACUGCGAGUGAAGCGGGAAAAGCUCAAAUUUAAAAUCUGGUGGCCCUCUGGUCGCUCGAGUUGUAAUUUAGAGAAGCGUCUUCCGCGCUGGAACCAUGUACAAGUCUCCUGGAAUGGAGCGUCAUAGAGGGUGAGAAUCCCGUCUUUGGCAUGGACACACCAGGGCUUUUGUGAUGCGCUCUCAAAGAGUCGAGUUGUUUGGGAAUGCAGCUCAAAAUGGGUGGUGAACUCCAUCUAAAGCUAAAUAUUGGCGAGAGACCGAUAGCGAACAAGUACCGUGAGGGAAAGAUGAAAAGCACUUUGGAAAGAGAGUGAAACAGUACGUGAAAUUGUUGAAAGGGAAACGCUUCAAGUCAGUCGCGUCGACCUGAGACUCAGCCUUGCCUUGGCUUGGUGUACUUCUCGGCCGACGGGUCAGCGUCGAUUUUGCUCCUCGGAUAAUGGCAAGGGAAAGGUGGCACCUUUACGGGUGUGUUAUAGUCCCCUGUCGCAUGCGAGGGGUCGGGAUCGAGGAACUCAGCACGCGCCUCUUGGCGUCGGGGCCUUUGGCUCACGCUACGUGCUUAGGAUGCUGGCAUAAUGGCUUUAAACGACCCGUCUUGAAACACGGACCAAGGAGUCUAACAUGCACGCGAGUGUUCGGGUGGAAAACCCGUGCGCGUAAUGAAAGUAAAAGUUGAGACCUCUGUCGUGGAGAGCAUCGACGCCCGGACCAGACCUUUUGUGACGGAUCUGCGGUAGAGCGUGUAUGUUGGGACCCGAAAGAUGGUGAACUAUGCCUGAAUAGGGUGAAGCCAGAGGAAACUCUGGUGGAGGCUCGUAGCGAUUCUGACGUGCAAAUCGAUCGUCAAAUUUGGGUAUAGGGGCGAAAGACUAUCGAACAUCUAUACU
rnacentral:rRNA from 1 species